GGACCACACAGAGACCCUGUUCCUCCUCAGUGCUCAGGCUUCCUCACAACAGAGCAGAAGGUCUUCCUUCACUGUGAUUCUCCACUUCACAGUAGAGACCACUGCACAGCUCCACAAGCUAGUGAACUAUGUGAGAUGGCACUGUGUGCUUCCUCUCUGCAACAUCAAGCUCCUCCUCCAACACGUGUUAAAGGUCUCUGCACCUCUGUGUCCUCCAUGUUCACUGACACUGACCAGAUGACUGAAAGCAGAAGCUCUACAGCCACUGGAAAGGUCAAAGGUCAGUCCAUCUUCAUGCUGACACUGUGCUCUGUUGACAGUUUUGGUUUGUGCCAACAACUGACUGAAGAGCAUCAUGACAGAACAAACUGUGAACCCUGGACAGAAUGACUGUGUCUCUGA